AUGAAAUAAACUUGAUGGGUUGUAGCUGGCUCUCUGGAGCAUUGUGCACACUUGUCAUGCUUUAUCUAUCCACCUGUGCACAUUCUGUAGUCUUGGGGGAUUUGAGAACUGGAUCAUUCAUUUGGUCUAUAGUAUCACUUCACUCGAGUUCUAUGUGACUUUCAUACACUACAAAGCCAGUCGUAGAAUGUAUUGAAAUGGGCCUUUGCGCCUAUAGAAAGAUAUAUA
rnacentral:misc_RNA from 1 species